GAGACCCACGCCAACAGUUGCCAGCACGUUCUCCGGAAUGGUGGGGACACUGUUGGGACCGCCUCUGCUAAAGAGGAGGAAGGAAUGGGCAACGGUAGGUCAGCAUGCCCCGAAUUACCCGGGCUACACGCGGGCUACAAUGGACAGGACAAUGGGAAUCGACACCGAGGGGUGAAGGCAAUCCCCUAAACCUGCCCUUAGUUCGGAUUGUGGGCUGCAACUCGCCCACAUGAAGCUGGAAUCCGUAGUAAUCGCGGAUCAACAUUCCGCGGUGAAUAU
rnacentral:rRNA from 1 species